rnacentral:rRNA from 1 species
UACGUAGGUGGCAAGCGUUUAUCCGGAAUUAUUGGGCGUAAAGCGCGCGCAGGCGGUUUCUUAAGUCUGAUGUGAAAGCCCACGGCUCAACCGUGGAGGGUCAUUGGAAACUGGGGAACUUGAGUGCAGAAGAGAGAAGCGGAAUUCCACGUGUAGCGGUGAAAUGCGUAGAGAUGUGGAGGAACACCAGUGGCGAAGGCGGCUUUUUGGUCUGGUAACUGACGCUGAGGCGCGAAAGCGUGGGGAGCAAACAGG